AUGAACGCUGGCGGCGUGCCUAAUACAUGCAAGUCGAGCGAACAGACGAGGAGCUUGCUCCUCUGACGUUAGCGGCGGACGGGUGAGUAACACGUGGAUAACCUACCUAUAAGACUGGGAUAACUUCGGGAAACCGGAGCUAAUACCGGAUAAUAUAUUGAACCGCAUGGUUCAAUAGUGAGAGACGGUUUUGCUGUCACUUAUAGAUGGAUCCGCGCCGCAUUAGCUAGUUGGUAAGGUAACGGCUUACCAAGGCGACGAUGCGUAGCCGACCUGAGAGGGUGAUCGGCCACACUGGAACUGAGACACGGUCCAGACUCCUACGGGAGGCAGCAGUAGGGAAUCUUCCGCAAUGGGCGAAAGCCUGACGGAGCAACGCCGCGUGAGUGAUGAAGGUCUUCGGAUCGUAAAACUCUGUUAUUAGGGAAGAACAAAUGUGUAAGUAACUAUGCACGUCUUGACGGUACCUAAUCAGAAAGCCACGGCUAACUACGUG
rnacentral:rRNA from 1 species